rnacentral:rRNA from 1 species
GACGAACGCUGGCGGCGUGCUUAACACAUGCAAGUCGAACGGAAAGGCCCUGCUUUUGUGGGGUGCUCGAGUGGCGAACGGGUGAGUAACACGUGAGUAACCUGCCCUUGACUUUGGGAUAACUUCAGGAAACUGGGGCUAAUACCGGAUAGGAGCUCCUGCUGCAUGGUGGGGGUUGGAAAGUUUCGGCGGUUGGGGAUGGACUCGCGGCUUAUCAGCUUGUUGGUGGGGUAGUGGCUUACCAAGGCUUUGACGGGUAGCCGGCCUGAGAGGGUGACCGGCCACAUGGGGACUGAGUUCCGGCCCAGCCUCUUACGGGAGGAAGCGGUGGGGAUUAUUGCACAAUGGGCGGAAGCCUGAGGCAGAACCGCCGCGUGCGGGAUGACGGCCUUCGGGUUGUAACCCGCUUUCGCCUGUGACGAAGCGUGAGUGACGGUAAUGGGUAAAGAAGCACCGGCUAACUACGU